GGCUGGCACAAUCGGUAGCGCGUGAGACUCUUAAUCUCAAGGUUGUGGGUUCGGUUAGUACUCUCCUCAUUCGAAUCCA